CAAAUACUUCCUCUGUCUCAAAAUUUUUGUCUUAAAUUUAUUUACAUACGGAUAUAUCUAUUCAUGUUUUAGUGUUAGAUGCAUUCGUAUCUAGAUAAAUCUGAGACAAAAAUUUUAAGACACAGGGAGUACUGA
rfam:Triticum urartu cultivar G1812 contig1145087, whole genome shotgun sequence.